rnacentral:rRNA from 1 species
UACGGAAUGUGCAAACGUUAUUCGGAAUCACUGGGCUUAGAGAGUCCGUAGGCGGCAUGUUAGGUGAGGUGUGAAAUCCCCCGGCUCAACCGAGGAAUUGCGCUUCAAACCGGCGUGCUUGAGGAAGAUAGAGGUGGGCGGAACUGAUGGUGGAGCGGUGAAAUGCGUUGAUAUCAUCAGGAACACCGGAGGCGAAGGCGGCCCACUGGGUCUUUUCUGACGCUGAGGGACGAAAGCUAGGGGAGCGAACGGG